rnacentral:rRNA from 1 species
CCUACGGGAGGCAGCAGUAGGGAAUCUUUCACAAUGGGCGAAAGCCUGAUUGAGCAACGCCGCGUGCAGGAUGAAGGCCUUCGGGUUGUAAACUGCUUUUAUAAGCGAGCAAUAUGAUGGUAACUUAUGAAUAAGGAUCGGCUAACUACGUGCCAGCAGCCGCGGUCAUACGUAGGAUCCGAGCAUUAUCCGGAGUGACUGGGUGUAAAGAGUUGCGUAGGUGGCAUAAUAAGUAGCUAGUGAAAUCUGGUGGCUCAACCAUUCAGACUAUUAGCUAAACUGUUAAGCUCGAGACCGUUAGGGGUAACUGGAAGUUCUAGUGUAGGAGUGAAAUCCGUAGAUAUUAGAAGGAACACCAAUAGCGUAGGCAGGUUGCUGGGACGGUUCUGACACUAAGGCACGAAAGCGUAGGGAGCAAACGGGAUUAGAUACCCCUGUAGUC